GUAAACCUAUAAAUCUCUUUGCCCGUCUCCACUUUCCUCCCUUCGAACAGAUCGCAAGGCAGCCUUCUUCUACUUGUCGACUCCAAUGGCCGCCGGUCCGAUCCCUCGGAGAGCUGGGUUGGCUUUAGCCUAUCGCCUUUCGGUCGGUGCCGUGUCGUUAUCUCGCGAUCCCAGCCGACCUUUUCGUCAUUCGACGUCAGCGCCUCGGAAUAAUGUCAAUAACGGAGACUGGGAAGGAGAGUGGUGGGAGGUGAUAGCCUCACCUUUCGGUUGCUUUUGUCUUUCUCUUGCCCUAGUAGACCCGUUUCCACCGGUCGCAUCCUCUUCUCUUCGCUCGUCGGCUGCGGAAGAAGUCUGAAAAAGUGGCAACCGUCAGCUGGGAUUCACGAAGAACAACUGUAAUUUGCUCUACUCAAGUUUGCUGGCUGUUUCAUCUCUCCGCCUAUAUAGGUGCCCUGAGAAGUUGAUGUAAAACUGGCUAGGGAUGGGUUCAAGGGCUCGCAUCAGUGGUUUCAUGCGAUUCUCAUCUGCUUUGUCUUCGGCGAUUCUUGAAUGGAUAUUGAUGCUUCUAUUAUUCUUUGAUGCCUGGUUUUCCUACAUGGUGACAAAAUUCUCUCGUCUAUGCAAGUUACAAACACCUUGUAUAUUCUGUUCAAGGCUAGAUCACAUAUUUGGAAGUGAGAAACUGGACUUCUAUCUAGAUCUAAUUUGUGAAACCCACAGAUCAGAGAUCUCAUCACUGGCCUUGUGUCAUGCUCACGGGAAGCUUGCUGAUGUUCACACCAUGUGCAAAGCUUGUCUCCUCUCAUUGAAACCUGAAACUUGCAGAUCUCUGGUAGGUAAUCUUGGAAGACAUUUUGAUUAUAGAGAGAACAUUCAGUAUGUUGAUGGUGAUGGCCUCCAUGUGCGUGAUGAGGAUGAUUUGGUGAAUGUCCCUUUUCUGAAGAAGGAUGAGACAAAUUGCUCUCCUGUCAAAAUAAUUUGUUCAUGUUGUGCUGAGCCUCUCCAACAUAAACUUCAUGCCAUUAGGUUGCUUGAGGAUGAAUCCAUCGAAGUUGAUGUUUCCGAAGUUGACAUUUCUUUGUCAAGUUUAACUGGAGAUGGGAUGAGAAAGACUAGAGAAAAAACUUUGGUUUCCCCAACAUCUGACCAUUUGAGGAAUCAAGGAUUAGACGAGUUCUCUCACAUUGUACACAGUGAAGUUAAAGUUACUACUGACUCUGACUCAGAAGUCCAGCAUAUAGAUGAUGGUAAAGGAAAAUCUCUGGCUCAUGGAGCUGAAAAUGCCAAGGAUGAUUUGAUGUAUCAAAAUGUAGAACCAGAGAAUGCCACAGAUAUUGGAAGCAGUUUAUCUGGAAGUCUUUCAGAUAAUAAAACAAUAGGAAAAUUAAAUUACUCUGAUCCAGUUAGUAUUUCAGACAAUAAAGCCUUGCAAAAGUUGAUUCACUCUGCCCCAGAUAUCGACGAGCCUUCUGAAUCUGUUUCUGAGAAGCAAAAAUGUGUAGGUGAGCUCCAUGAUGUAUCAGAAAUUUCAUCUUCUGGUGCUGUUGGACAUAUUCCGAAAGAUAGCAAUUUGAACCAAAUCGAAAUCAAUGCUAAGCCCCCUCAAACUAAAUUUGUGUCAAAAGAUCCCCAAGAAGUUCCUGUGGAGGACUCAAAUGUAAAAGAUAAGUUGGAGCAAAGUGAUGCUGCAUGUGUCAAUACUACUUAUGUGGAUGAUGUGAAGGAUUGGUGUGCAAAGGACAUCGAUUUGGGGAUAAGCCAUGAUGCAAGUGACCCUGGUCAAUCUAUGAGUAAUCAUAUGGAUCUGAAUGAUGCGUAUAAGCUUGCUGUUGGUGCUAAGGGAAGCUUGCCAUCUCCUAGAUUUGCUGAUGUUAUUAUGGGAAAGGAUUCUUCUAGGGUUCAGGAAGAUCUGAAACUGCUAAUUUCUCAAAUAUCUGCAUCUCGGGGCCUUGAGUCUCCAUGGCAUGAAAUGACUCCUAGUCCUCGAGUAUAUGGACAAGAUGACGAAUCUGUUUUGCAGAACAUAACCAAGACACUCUCUCUUGAGAGGAACGAAUCAGGCUUAGAGUCACUAGAUGGAAGUUUUGUUAGUGAGGUGGAAGGGGAAAGUGCAUUUGAGAGACUAAAGAGGCAGGUUGAGUUGGACAGGAAGUCCAUAAGCCUUCUCUACAAGGAAUUAGAAGAAGAAAGAAGUGCUUCAGCAAUUGCGGCAAAUCAAGCAAUGGCCAUGAUUACUAGGUUGCAAGAGGAGAAGGCUGCUAUGCAAAUGGAGGCUCUGCAUUACCAAAGAAUGAUGGAAGAGCAAGCUGAAUAUGACCAUGAAGCACUUCAGAAUUGCAAUGAGUUGCUUACUCAAAGAGAGAAAGAAAUGCAAGAUUUGGAAGCUGAGAUGGAAAUCUAUAGGAAAAGCUUUACAGAUAAAUUAUCCAAUGAUCAAGCAGUGGAACUGAAUGGUAAUUUCCAUGAUAAGGAGCUUGAAUCAUGUAACAAAUCUAGGGAAAAUCAUGUAAUGCAUCAAGAUUCCAGAUGGAGUAACUUUGAUGGUUUGAAGAAUCCCUUAUCAUGUUUUGAAGAUGAGGAGGCGUAUCUAUCAAAUUGUUUGGUGAAGUUGGAGAAAAAGCUUCAUCUUUUUUCCAAUCAUGGUGUUUUUGAUGAUGGUUCUAGUUUAUUAGUGAAUGAUGAUGAAAAUGGAUUUCCCGAAAACACAUGUACAGAUAUUCAAGGUGAAGAUUUUAUACAAAGAAACAGAGUGUCAGAAGGUGGUGUGGGCACAAAUGGUUGGUACUCUGACAAGAUUGCAUCUGCAGGUCCAGAGCACCUGUAUCAGAAAGAUGGUCCCCUUGAAAAUAGUCAGGUAGGAGGGAUUUUAAUGGGUGAAAAGUUAUCCAGGAAACCUUCAAGUUCCUUUCAAGGAAACCAUGAAGACAGCUUUGACAUUGACAAGUACUUGAAAGUAGUUAACAAGAGUGACUUAGUUGCUCUUGAGGAUGAAGUGUCAUGUUUAAGUCAGAGGUUGGAGGCACUUGAGGCAGAUCGUAAUUUUCUUGAACAUGCUAUCAACUCACUUAGAAAUGGUGAUGCUGGUGUUCGGUUUCUUCAACAGAUAGCUUGUGAUCUGCAUGAAUUACGGAAAAUUGGAAUCACUCGACAAGAGCAUCAUAUAGCUUGAGUCUUUACAAGUUCUAUCUGUAAUGUAUAUGUAGAAAUUAUUAUAAUUUAGGAGGUGUCUCUUCAAGAGGUUAACGAUAAUGAAUGAUCAUUGUGAGUGAGCAUGAUACUUCCAAGAUCAAAGCAAUAUAUAUUUCAAGGUGACAAAUAUUCUGAAUUCAAAGUUUGUUAGCUUAAUAGUUGGGACUUAUGGCUUUGUUUUUGUAAAGUUUGUUGGCUUUUAUGGUUAUUCAUUUAUGAUGAAUUAACUAAAUUCAGCCAUGAACAGUACAAUCUGAAGACUCCUAUCUUGAACUUGUUCUUUGGAAAGAUACAGUUGUAGAUGAUUGCUAUGCUAUUAUAAUCUUCUGGAUAUUAAUCAACCGUACGGUUGAUGUUCUGUACAUUUAGUUGUUUCGUUUUUCACAUUUUAUCAUGUGUCCAACAUAAAAUUCCCUUUGGAUUUAGCACCUUGGGAAUUUAAAUUUGAAGUACCACAUAUUCACUGAACAACAGAAGUUGGCAUAAAUCCAAACAAUCCCAUCUUGGGUUCUGGUAUAAGCAAAACUUAGAUACAUGUAAUAGUAAAACCUGAAAAAAGUAACAGAUAGCAUCUCUUAGUAAUAAGUAUAUGCACAAUCAUAUUGUGAGGUCAUUAGGACAUGUAACAUGAUCUAGCCCCAUGAUUGGAAUUUGAAAUAUGAUUUUUUGUCUUCAAUGAAGCAUAGAGUAAUGAGACAAAUAGAAGAAGAUAUUGGCUUAUGCCACAUCCCAUAGGAUGUGUGGUUGAUACAACAUGAUAUGUGGAAAAUGGUGAAAUGGUUGUCUUUGGUUGUGAUUUGCAUAAUUGAUGUGGUUAUUUUUUUAAUCUUUGAGCAUGAUACUCACCUUAGGAGUCUCUUCCAAUUCAUUUUGAUUGGCCAUGAUUGCUAAUAGGUUCAUCUUUUGCUUGGUAUGUUGUUGUCCUCCUACUAUUAUUUUUUCUUUCAUUUCUCUAUCUUUAAAGAGUGUUGUUAAUAUUUUUGAUCAAGAUUAUGCAUGAUCAUGCUAUACCUCUAAGGGCUAUCCAUACCAAAUUGUUGCUCAUGAAUAUGACAACAUCGAUCAUAGAAUCAGCUGAUGUAGGAUGCAUAAAAUUAUGACACUGAUCCAGUUUUUAGGAAAUUAUUGGUCUCAUGGAGUGAAGUCCAACAGUUUAAUUUAAGGCUGCAAUGGUCGUUCUUAUUUGGAAAAUCUGAUUCAGUAAUUAGUUGGAACUUUUAGUUGGACCUAAAUUAUUGUUUCAUUGAAGAUCUGAUUCUUAAAAGAAUAUAGGUAGAUGAAGCUAACUCUUGAAGUUAUGAAUGAGGAUUUUGGUUAUGUUGACAAAAAUACUGAAAAUAAAGCUGGCCUCCUGUUAAAAUAGUUUAUUGAAAGAAUAUGAAGAUAAUUGAGAUGAGGCAGCCACUGUUUAAUAAAUUUGAUGAAUGAUUUUGUAUUACAUAAACUAUUAUUUUUUGUUAAAGAAAGAGUACAAUGUUUAUUUGGAACUAUCAAGUAAUUUUGGUCUAAAACCCUAGGCUGAUGAAUCAUUUUUCUUCUUAUGAGAUUGCUGCAAUUGAAUAAAGCAGCAAGUGGAUAUUGCAGUAUAUGCUAAGAGAAUAAUGACACUCUCGUAACUCGUAAGGGCCUUGAAUGGCAGGUCUUUAAGGGAUUGUUGAUUUUUAUGUCAAUCAAAUCCCACUUCAAUACCAAACUAGUUGGUAUCUUAUCCUGAUAACUGAAAGAAUACCACAUUAAUGAUGUCCAUAUAAAGCACUUCAAUUUGAAGACUUGUGACGCAUAGUGAACUCAUAAAUUUAUAUGAUCAUUAUCAGAAGACAUAAUGUAGGAGUCAAAUUAGCACAAAAGAUAAUGAAGUGAUUUUUUUUGUUCUUAAUCAACACAUUCUGGAUAUUUAAAGCUAACAAUUUACUUAAAUUGGAUGUUGCAAACAAGAAUUAAGGGCAUCAGGGAAGAUUCUGUCCAACUGGUCUUAUUAGCCAGUCCAACUCAUGUGCAAGAUUAUCAAACUGAAAUCAAAUAAGCUCUUGGUUAAUCAGCAUAACUUUUAUGUUUUAACUAAUAAUGCAUGCCUGCCUUUUGCUCAUGCAAUUAUUUUCCUUGCUACUGAACUUCUCAUAGGCCAUACACAACCAUGCAUUCAGUGGCAACCUAAUCAGUUGUUAGUAUGCUCUGUCAGUAUGUAUCAUGUCUAAUGCCACUAGUGUUAUCGCAUGAUUUAAUAUCAAUUUUUUUGGUGGCCAAGUACAUAUCCUUAAUAUACUGGUACCACUAUGUUGUCAUAAGUCAACCCCAUAUUGGUGGAACAAACCUGUAAACUUUUGCAAUUAUGAUGUUUUUAGGACAUAUGAGGGCAUAUCUCAGCUGAAAAACAUUGCUUAAAUUGGACAUGAAACACCAGAAUUUUCUUGAUUCUCUUCAUGAUUAUGAAUGACUAGGAAACUUAUUUGCACCAUGUGGGGACCAAUAAUUACUCUGGGAACUUGGCACAAUAAACCUGACCAGACAUUGAUUUCUAUCGUAGCUCGUUGUUUCCUAAAAUAAUAUGCAACUUGAUGCGCUAAAGAUCUGGAUGAUGAAGGUUCAUAAUUUACGUUCAGGACAGAGGCUCAUAUAGUCUGAGCACCCACAACUGUAUACUAUAUUCAGUAGUUGGAAAUGUGGCUGAUGGGUCUUCAGAGGCUGCUUCAUUUUUACCUUGUGUGUUUUACUUUUCUUUUCUUUAUAGAAUUGCUUGGUUUUGUAUUUUCUUAUCAUUAUCAUUUUUUCUAUAUUAACUUGAUUUCAUUCAGAAUUAGUAUUUUUUAUCUUUUUCUUUCUUAAAAAUGAGUGGUAAAUUUGUAAUAGGGUGAUUACUGUGUGAUAGCAAUGACCUGUGCAUUGUAAAACAUCUUCUGCAUGCUCACAUCUGCUGAGUUGUUCAAUAAUCUGGGGACUUGUAGUUUUUGCCAUCAAGAGUCUCAGCAAUGAGAGUAACAGUAUCAUUAUAUUCUUCUCUGUAAUAUAACUUAAAAAUCCUUAUUGAAAGUUCUGUUAUAAUUUCUAGUUUUUAUACCAA